GAUGAAGAACGCAGCGAAAUGCGAUAAGUAAUGUGAAUUGCAGAAUUCAGUGAAUCAUCGAAUCUUUGAACGCACAUUGCGCCCCCUGGUAUUCCGGGGGGCAUGCCUGUCCGAGCGUCAUUACAACCCUCAAGCUCAGCUUGGUGUUGGGCCCCGCCGCCCCGGCGGGCCCUAAAGUCAGUGGCGGUGCCGUCCGGCUCCGAGCGUAGUAAUUCUUCUCGCUCUGGAGGUCCGGUCGUGUGCUCGCCAGCAACCCCCAAUUUUUUUCAGGUUGACCUCGGAUCAGGUAGGGAUACCCGCUGAACUUAAGCAUGUCAAUAAGCGGAGGA
rnacentral:misc_RNA from 1 species